GCCUAAUACAUGCAAGUCGAACGGAGUAGCAAUACUUAGUGGCGAACGGGUGAGUAACACGUAUCUAAUCUACCAUUUAGUGGGGAAUAACUGUUGGAAACGACAGCUAAUACCGCAUAAUAUUGCUGGAUAAUUUCCAGUAAUGAAAGGAGCUUUCAAGCUCCGCUGAUUGAUGAGGAUGCGGCGCAUUAGCUAGUUGGUAGGGUAAUGGCCUACCAAGGCAAUGAUGCGUAGCCGAUCUGAGAGGAUGAACGGCCACAUUGGGACUGAGACACGGCCCAAACUUCUACGGAAGGCAGCAGUAGGGAAUUUUUCACAAUGGGCGAAAGCCUGAUGGAGCAAUGCCGCGUGACUGAUGAAGGUCUUCGGAUUGUAAAGGUCUGUUGUAAGGGAAGAAAUGGUAAAACAGGAAAUGGUUUUAUCUAUGACGGUACCUUACCAGAAAGCCACGGCUAACUAUGUGCCAGCAGCCGCGGUAAUACAUAGGUGGCAAGCGUUAUCCGGAUUUAUUGGGCGUAAAGGGUGCGUANACGGUUUUGCAAGUCUGANG
rnacentral:rRNA from 1 species